rnacentral:rRNA from 1 species
GAUGAACGCUGGCGGCGUGCCUAAUACAUGCAAGUCGAGCGAACGGACGAGAAGCUUGCUUCUCUGAUGUUAGCGGCGGACGGGUGAGUAACACGUGGAUAACCUACCUAUAAGACUGGGAUAACUUCGGGAAACCGGAGCUAAUACCGGAUAAUAUUUUGAACCGCAUGGUUCAAAAGUGAAAGACGGUCUUGCUGUCACUUAUAGAUGGAUCCGCGCUGCAUUAGCUAGUUGGUAAGGUAACGGCUUACCAAGGCAACGAUGCAUAGCCGACCUGAGAGGGUGAUCGGCCACACUGGAACUGAGACACGGCCCAGACUCCUACGGGAGGCAGCAGUAGGGAAUCUUCCGCAAUGGGCGAAAGCCUGACGGAGCAACGCCGCGUGAGUGAUGAAGGUCUUCGGAUCGUAAAACUCUGUUAUUAGGGAAGAACAUAUGUGUAAGUAACUGUGCACAUCUUGACGGUACCUAAUCAGAAAGCCACGGCUAACUACGUGCCAGCAGCCGCGGUAAUACGUAGGUGGCAAGCGUUAUCCGGAAUUAUUGGGCGUAAAGCGCGCGUAGGCGGUUUUUUAAGUCUGAUGUGAAAGCCCACGGCUCAACCGUGGAGGGUCAUUGGAAACUGGAAAACUUGAGUGCAGAAGAGGAAAGUGGAAUUCCAUGUGUAGCGGUGAGAUGCGCAGAGAUAUGGAGGAACACCAGUGGCGAAGGCGACUUUCUGGUCUGUAACUGACGCUGAUGUGCGAAAGCGUGGGGAUCAAACAGGAUUAGAUACCCUGGUAGUCCACGCCGUAAACGAUGAGUGCUAAGUGUUAGGGGGUUUCCGCCCCUUAGUGCUGCAGCUAACGCAUUAAGCACUCCGCCUGGGGAGUACGACCGCAAGGUUGAAACUCAAAGGAAUUGACGGGGACCCGCACAAGCGGUGGAGCAUGUGGUUUAAUUCGAAGCAACGCGAAGAACCUUACCAAAUCUUGACAUCCUUUGACAACUCUAGAGAUAGAGCCUUCCCCUUCGGGGGACAAAGUGACAGGUGGUGCAUGGUUGUCGUCAGCUCGUGUCGUGAGAUGUUGGGUUAAGUCCCGCAACGAGCGCAACCCUUAAGCUUAGUUGCCAUCAUUAAGUUGGGCACUCUAAGUUGACUGCCGGUGACAAACCGGAGGAAGGUGGGGAUGACGUCAAAUCAUCAUGCCCCUUAUGAUUUGGGCUACACACGUGCUACAAUGGACAAUACAAAGGGCAGCGAAACCGCGAGGUCAAGCAAAUCCCAUAAAGUUGUUCUCAGUUCGGAUUGUAGUCUGCAACUCGACUACAUGAAGCUGGAAUCGCUAGUAAUCGUAGAUCAGCAUGCUACGGUGAAUACGUUCCCGGGUCU